UCUCAAUCUUUUCUAUAGGUGAUGCUGCUGUAGGACUAGGCGUUAACCGACAUGUGAUGUCAACACUGAUGCUGAAGCUGAGAAGGGGAUUUCACCUUAAUCUUGGAAAUGGAGCAAUCACCAAAGUGUUUGAGGGCCAACCAGACCAUUUGGUACCUGCCAACUCUGCUGUGAUGGUGGAGAGCGAGCUUUUUUUGAUGGCAGGUCGAAUGAUAGGGCAUUGCUUUUUGUAUGGCGGUCCUGGUUUCCCCGGUCUCAGCCCAUCCAUCACACAUGUUCUGCUUGGAGGUUCCCUAGACACUGCCACAGUCAUGAUUGAAGACUGUCCUGAUUUGGAUAUUCGGGAAACAAUUACAUUGUUGGCAGAAAAUUGUGAACUGACAGAUGAAGAACGGGGCAAAGUAGUAAGCCUUUGCAUGGCUUGGGACCUUCCUUUUCCAACUUCAAGCAACGUGAAGUGGCUUCAUGACAAGCUGCUCCUGCAUGCGGUUCUGGGACGAUCAGCAAGACAAGUAAAGCAGUUGAGAAAGGGACUGAAGGAAACUGGCAUUUGGCCGCUUCUCUCAAAUAGGGCCGAUGUGGUGAAGUAGCUUUUCCCUUGCUAGAGAGAAGCUGAGAUCACACCCCAGAUGAUUCUUGGCCACAUAAAAUGGCCCACAACAAAUCCAGAUUCUGAUGACGAUGAAGAUGACAUCUCGGCUGAGGCAGUCACUCGAGUCACCGCUUUUUUCAGGACCUUUGUAGAACGUGCAUCUUCAGAGCAAUUGAAAAACCUGCUACGGUUCUGGGUGGGUUGGGAGGUCCCUCCAGAGGAGCUGAUCGUGAAGGUGGCAAGUGGCCACCUCCCCAGGGCCUUGACUUGCUUUGAGACCAUCAAGUUGCCUGACCAUCACACACACUACAAAGAUUUUGAGUCCAACUUGAUGUGUGCUAUUGCUACUAACGAAACAGGGUUUGGUCUUGUGUAAAAGCAAAUUAUACUUUGGACUUUGGUGUUACCGUGUUUAAAGAAAAAAGUUGUUUUUCAACAAAAGACCAAUACUGGAAAGUUUGCAAUAUUUCAAGGCGGUGUACACAAAGCUAUUCCUCUUUCUGUUUUGUUAAAUUCACGUUAAUUGCUAAAACAGAGGAGUUCCUGUUAGAGUUCCAAAUUUUGUAUUAGCCAGUGCCAAGCGCUUAAAAUGUUUCAAACAGCUUUACCUUUUAGGUAU